rnacentral:rRNA from 1 species
GUGGGGAAUUUUGGACAAUGGGCGCAAGCCUGAUCCAGCCAUGCCGCGUGAGGGAAGAAGGCCUUCGGGUUGUAAACCUCUUUCGGCCGGGACGAAAUCGCUCAGGUGAAUAAUCUGGGUGGAUGACGGUACCGGAAGAAGAAGCACCGGCUAACUACGUGCCAGCAGCCGCGGUAAUACGUAGGGUGCGAGCGUUAAUCGGAAUUACUGGGCGUAAAGCGUGCGCAGGCGGAGGCCUAAGCCAGACGUGAAAUCCCCGAGCUUAACUUGGGAAUGGCGUUUGGGACUGGGUCACUGGAGUGCGGCAGAGGGAACUGGAAUUCCAGGUGUAGCAGUGAAAUGCGUAGAUAUCUGGAGGAACACCGAUGGCGAAGGCAGGUUCCUGGGCCAGCACUGACGCUCAUGCACGAAAGCGUGGGGAGCAAACAGGAUUAGAAACCCGAGUAGUCC